UACGGAGGGUGCAAGCGUUGUUCGGAAUCAUUGGGCGUAAAGCGCGCGCAGGCGGCUCAUCAAGUCCGAUGUGAAAGCCCAGGGCUCAACCCUGGAAUGGCAUUGGAAACUGGUGAGCUUGAGUCCGGGAGGGGCCUGUGGAAUUCCUGGUGUAGGGGUGAAAUCCGUAGAGAUCAGGAGGAACACCGGUGGCGAAGGCGACAGGCUGGACCGGAACUGACGCUGAGGCGCGAAAGUGUGGGGAGCAAACAGG
rnacentral:misc_RNA from 1 species